rnacentral:snRNA from 1 species
AGCUUUAUGCAGUGGCAGUAUUGUAGCCAAUGAGGUUUAUCUGAGGCGCAAUUAUUGCUAAUUGAAAAAAAAGGCCAUAUAAUCUGAACAGACAUUUCUUAAAAGAA